AACGCACAUUGCGCCCGUUAGCACUCUAGCGGGCAUGCCUGUUCGAGCGUCAUUUCAACCCUCAGACCCUGUCUGGUGUUGGGGACCUACGGCCUCCGUAGUCCCUCAAAGCUAGUGGCGGGCUCCGCCAUAUCCCGAGCGCAGUAGCAUUCUCGCUCAGGGCUAUGGCAGACCCCCAGCCUCACCCAUUAAAUUUUUCAAGGUUGACCUCGGAUCAGGUAGGAAUACCCGCUGAACUUAA
rnacentral:misc_RNA from 1 species